GAUGAAGAACGCAGCGAAACGCGAUAUGUAAUGUGAAUUGCAGAAUUCAGUGAAUCAUCGAAUCUUUGAACGCACAUGGCGCCUUCCAGUAUCCUGGGAGGCAUGCCUGUCCGAGCGUCGUUUCAACCCUCGAGCCCCCGUGGCCCGGCGUUGGGGAUCUGCCCAGGCAGUCCCCGAAAACCAGUGGCGGACCCGUUACAGGCCCUUCCCUUGCGUAGUAGCAUUCGCCUCGCAUCGGGAGCCGGCGGGCUUCCAGCCUCUAAACCCCCAUCAAGUCCGCCCCGGCGGCACCAAGGUUGACCUCGGAUCAGGUAGGAAUACCCGCUAAACUUAAGCAUAUCAAUAAGCGGAGGA
rnacentral:misc_RNA from 1 species